GGCCAAAUUUGACGUGUAAAAGCACACUUUGACAUCUAAGUUUGUUCGUUAUAAACUUCACGUGAAGAAAUUGACGAAAAAGAAAAUUGUUCUAUUUUUUCAUUUAUUUGGCGUGAAUUCAGUGUCACCAACCUGUGUCCAUUUGGCGGGAAGUGGAAGUAGAGCUGUAGAGCUUUUUGUUUAUUAUUAUUUGUUGAGGUUGAGUCUUUCAUGUUCAUGACAACCUAAAAAUUUUGAUUGGAAAAUGCAUAUAAGAUAAGGGGGUGGGUGGGAAAAUGGAAAUUAGUGGCUUUUUUGCAGUUCUGUCUGUUAGUUUUGCUCUGGCUGGGUCUCUUUUGUUUAAACAAUUAUAAUCAGCUGAAAGUGGUCUACAAAAAAACCAGGAAGGAAACGUAUUAUAGCCUUGUUGUGGCUAUGAAAGGCAAAAGAAAGAUACCUAUAAAAAGUGUAUUGACUAGUUGGAAGAAACUCCACAUUGUCGAUGCAUAAUAAGAUAUUACUUUAUAAACAAAUAUCAAGACCUAGGAAUGGAACCUGGAUAAUAUAGUCAUCAAGAAGAUAGCAGGAGGUCAUGAGCAACAACAACUUCAUAAGUAUGAGAAUAUUGAGGAAAUCCAUCUCCUCGAUAUCUACUACUGGACAAACUAGAAGAUUGAAGAGGACAAAGCCUUUUGAACUAGUUUGAGUGAUAGGUGAUAGUGAAAAGCAGAGCGUAGUGCUUGUGUGCCUGUGUAUGUUAGAAUAGUGCACGAUCUUGUUAGAUUAGAUAAGAGACGCUAUAGGGUAAGCUCUUCAUUUUAAGGAACAGUAGUAAUUUAGGUUAAAUUAAAAUUGCUCAUUGGUCAGUUAUGACCAGAUUGUAAUUCUCUGAUGUUUGGCAAAAAGGGCUGAAGUCAGAAUUGCACAUCAAUAAUGUUUUGAUGAUUUCUGGACCAUAAAAAAAGUGUUGCAGACUUAAACUGUAUGUACCAAUAAAAAGAGCCGAUUUUUCUGGUCCAGAAAUCAUCAAAACAUUAUCGAUGUGCAAUUCUGACUCAAGCCCUUUUUCCCAAACAUCAGAGAAUUGCAAUGUACAAUUCAAUACAAAUGAAUCAUCAUCGUAGUGAUGAUUAUGGAAAAAAAUAUAUAUAUAUAUAGAAAUAUAUAUAUUUUGUGCAAUAAAAAUGUUUAUAUUUA